rnacentral:rRNA from 1 species
UACGGAGGAUGCAAGCGUUAUCCGGAAUUAUUGGGCGUAAAGCGUCCGCAGGUGGUUUAUCAAGUCUGCUGUCAAAGCGCGAGGCUUAACUUCGUAAAGGCAGUGGAAACUACACGGCUAGAGUGCGUUCGGGGCAGAGGGAAUUCCUGGUGUAGCGGUGAAAUGCGCAGAUAUCAGGAGGAACACCAAUGGCGAAGGCAGCUCGCUGGGACGGUACUGACGCUGAGGCGCGAAAGCGUGGGGAGCAAACAGG